GUACCUAUGGCUCAGUGGUUGAGCAUGGGCAUCAGCUUUCUAGUAUUCAUAAGUUGGAUGUGAAUGUCUGGGUUCAAAUCCUGGUGGGUACU
rfam:Moniliophthora roreri MCA 2997 sctg_0599_0003, whole genome shotgun sequence.